CAGGCACACAUAAACUGGCCUGGAUCCUUGCAGAUGUUAUCAUGGCUGCAACCCUCACAAGUUCAGGUUGUUUGGCAAGGGCAGAGGGUUGGAAUGUUGGGAGCUUUACCAUUUAAUAACAGCAAAGCCAUAAAUUCAAGCCAAGUAUUUAUAUAUUGGUCUAUUGCACCAAUAAAGCUAAUACAAUCAUUGAAUCAUGAAAUGUAUUGUGAUUUUCAACAGUACAAAAUAGAAUCGAAAAAGCUCCUUUACUUAAUUUUUAUAUCCCAAUAAUUCAAGCUGCAAAACAUAAUUACUCAAAGACAACCCAAAAUAUGGUAUUAAAUUGCAAAUGGGCUAUUCCAUUUAAUAUCCGUACCCCCCCUGUCGAGGAUCCCUGGAAUUCUUCAGGGGUAAAGGGUUUUGAGCUUGGAAUUCUUCAGGGGUAAAGUGUUUUGAGCUUGGAAUUCUUCAGGGGUAAAGUGUUUUGAGGUUGGAAUUCUUCAGGGGUAAAGGGUUUUGAGCUUGGAAUUCUUCAGGGGUAAAGGGUUUUGAGCUUGGAAUUCUUCAGGGGUAAGGAGGUUUGAUUUGAAAUUUUUCAGAGCUUGGAAUUCUUCAGGGGUAAAGGGUUUUCAGCUUGGAAUUCUUCAGGGGUAAAAGGUUUUGAGCUUGGAAUUUUUCAGGGGUAAAGGGUUUUGAGCUUGGAAUUCUUCAGGGGUAAAGGGUUUUGAGCUUGGAAUUCUUCAGGGGUAAAAGGUUUUGAGCUUGGAAUUCUUCAGGGGUAAAGGGUUUUGAGCUUGGAAUUUUGGAAUUCUUCAGGGGUAAAAGGUUUUGAGCUUGGAAUUCUUCAGGGGUAAAGGGUUUUGAGCUUGGAAUUCUUCAGGGGUAAAAGGUUUUGAGCUUGGAAUUCUUCAGGGGUAUAACCAUAAAAAACAUGUAUCCUCGACAGGGGGUGUACGGAUAUUAAAUGGAAUAGCCCAAUGGAAAAUACAUUUACAUAUAGAAAAUGGCAAAACAUUUACAUAUAGAAAAUAUAUAUUCACUUUAAUACGAAGAACUAUCACGAUAUACUGUACAUGUAAGGUCCGUUUCAUGUGAAAAUGAAUUUCCUUAUUUCCUUGUUAUAUUCUUCCAACUUUCAAACGUAUUCUUUGGCCCAUAUUUCGUCAGUGUAGCUUUAAAUGCCAACAUUUUCAUGCUCGACGAAGCUAGAUGCCAUCUACGAAGGAGCACUUUCAAAUUUGAUUUUGAAGUGGUUUUGUACGUUUCACCUUCAAUUUUAUAUUCAGCGCAAUCGUAGGAACUUUUCUCAGUACCAGAGAACGAUUUUGAGCUUAAUAAACCGACUUUUCUUGCAAAAAUUCUCACUUUAGUAAGUUACAGCGUCAAAAUAUAAUACAAUUCAAUAGUGUUUGUUUACGCUCGCGUUCCUGAGUCCCAGGCCCCCAAGGACGACGGAUUUUUUUGAAAAUUGUCAUGUUUGAGCGUCAAUAUCUCGGAAAAUACUGAACCAAAUCAAAAAAGGUUGAAGAACUUACAAACUAACUUUUUG